rnacentral:lncRNA from 1 species
GAUGCCAUCCAGGCGCACGGCGGGUAUAGUGGUUCCGCAACCUUGGGAUGUUCGGCUGAGCGCCUGCCUAACAUGGGAGCGCCUGCCUAACCCUCCUGACUGGAGGGUCAGCGGCGGGGAGUCCUGGCCUUCAAUCGGCCAUCGCCACGGCAGAAACUGGGGCCCGGGCUGCGUCCAGGCCCUUCCCCGUCCGUCCACAGGUCUCAUGGGCGCCCGGACUGGGGCUGAUGUAGUUUCCCGACCUCUGACACAUAGGAUCUGGAGAUUAAAGGCCCCUGGAUCCUCCUGGAAUCCCUGAUCCCUGUUGCUCCCUGGCGGAGUUUUCUAGUCCCUCUUACUUGAAGCAUGUCUUUCAGAGCCCGGCACCACCCAAGUUGGGUAUCUGCUACACCUCUAUGGUAUUUUUUUCACCUCAUAUCAUACCUUCCUCCCUCACUGGACUUCAGUGUGGGACCUGCAGGUCUCAGGCCUUCUGGGAAGUCCCAGCUUUUCUUGAAUGUUCUCUCUCUCUGGCCAGCUCAGGCUGGAGCAGUGGGUGUUGGUGCCAUCCUGUGGCUAUAGGUGAUAAGCCGGCUGUUCUUCACUGACCUGGUCUUACCUUGAACCCUGGAGUUCUCACAUGCAUGGAUUUAAAUGCUGUGUCUUUCUAAGGGCACAUUAUGGCCAUUUUCCUUAUCUCCCUCCCAAGGGGCUGUUUCCUGUAUUUAUUGACUCCCUGUUUAAAAAAAAUAUAUGUAUAUAUAGACAAAUUGGAUUGUACCCCAUAAACUGCAUGUUUUAAAAAUACUUCAAA